UACGUAGGGUGCUAGCGUUGUUCGGAAUCAUUGGGCGUAAAGCGCGUGUAGGCGGUCAAAUAAGUCUGGUGUGAAAGCCCUGGGCUCAACCGAGGAAGUGCAUCAGAAACUAUUUGACUAGAAGACGGUAGAGGAAGGUGGAAUUCCAAGUGUAGAGGUGAAAUUCGUAGAUAUUUGGAGGAAUACCGGUGGCGAAGGCGGCCUUCUGGACUGGUCCUGACGCUCAGGAGCGAAAGCGUGGGGAGCGAUCCGG
rnacentral:rRNA from 1 species